rnacentral:rRNA from 1 species
GUCUAUGACCAUACCACCCUGAAUGUGCUUGAUCUCAUCUGAUCUCAUGAAGCUAAGCAGGGUGGGGCCUGGUUAGUACUUGGAUGGGAGACUGUCACAAAAUAAGGUGCUGAUGGCU